rnacentral:rRNA from 1 species
UACGGGGGGAGCAAGCGUUGUUCGGAUUUACUGGGCGUAAAGGGCGCGUAGGCGGCCAGCACAAGUCGGUUGUGAAAUCUCCGGGCUUAACUCGGAAAGGUCAACCGAUACUGUGCGGCUAGAGUGCGGAAGGGGCAACUGGAAUUCUCGGUGUAGUGGUGAAAUGCGUAGAGAUCCGGAGGAACACCAGUGGCGAAGGCGACACGCUGGGCCAUACCUGACGCUAAAGCGCGACAGCAUGGGGAGCAAACGGG